AUGGGCUUUACCCUCCCAGCCGCCAUGGCAUCCACCAGCGCCACCUUGCCUGGUUGGUCGAUGCUGGAUCGCUUCGUGUUCUGGAGCGAGAACUUCGCCUUCCCCAAGGACGCCGCCUCAACCCUGGCCCCCGGCACCAACUCCAUGGACCAAAAGUUCCGGAUCUGCUUCAAACUCGUCGACCCGCCGGGGGUGUCCCGCCUUUAUCUGCAGAUGGAGGACGGCCUGUGGCAGUCCCAUAGCUUCGACAUCGUCGCCGCCCACCGCGCCGCGCUUCUCCUCCAGAUGAGCUACCCUAUCCAGGUGCCAGGCUACGACGCCAUCAUCCCGAUGAUCGACCACUUCCUCUACCGCGCCGCCGGCGGUGGCUCUCCGCCGUCUCUGGAGCGGCUCCCCCCUCUUGACGGGACCAUCGCCCAGCUCCAGGACCGAAUCAAGGCCCGGGCCAGUGACGACGCCACCACGAAUCAGCUUUUGCGCAGGCUGCGGGGCCUGGACCUAGGCGUCCUGUGCCGCGGAGGGGACGAGGUCGCCGUCGCAGAGCUCGAGAUCACCGGGUCCAUGGCGCCGCCCAAGCUCCACGUACUCUGCCCGUCCACCUCCAGCAGUUGGGAGGUCAAGCAUCCGCCCAUCGUACCCUGCGACGCCGCCAAGGAAUUUGAUCUGGGGGAGUUCUUUAGGUGCUUUGAUGCUCACGCGGUCGUCUCCUUCAGGAGUUAUCUGUGCUGGGUCGAUUACUCCCUUGGCAUCCUGUUCUGCGAUGUGUUUGACGAGAGCCCCAAGCUCCUAAACCUGGAACUCCCAGCUCAAUUGCCCCAAUUGCAUCGCGAAGUCAUGGGCCGAGCAUGGGCCGAGGCGUACCACGCCGUGGGCGUCACAGAGGGCGAGGUCAUGAAAUUUGUCAAACUUGUCCGUGACAAGGACGAGCUUUCUGAAACCACUGGACCUGCCACCGAUGCUUUCACCAUCACCUCAUGGUCACUCAAAAUAACAGAAAGCAACGGCAUGAUGAAGUGGGAGCAGGAUGCAUUUCUUAGAUCCAGCGAGAUCGGGUUUGAUGGAUUCACGCAUCUUCCUCGUACCCCGUUGGAAUUCCCUCUCAUCAGCAUGUAUGAGCCCAGUGUCGUUUACUUCAUGAUCGGGCAUGACCAGGCGUCGUACAUGUAUAAUAAGGUGUGGAUUGUUGCCGUUGACAUUAGCAAUGGCAAGGUGAAGUCGUCGUCUGCAUACAUCAACGGUGUAGAACAGGUGGGGGACCUCUGUGGUGAGGAAGCUUUGUACUUUGCCAAAGAAAAACCCCAGUGUUACACUAGCUUUCUUCCUGCCGACUUCGCCAAGCACCUCAAUUUGUUUGGAACCAGGUAA
rnacentral:rRNA from 1 species